AUGAACGCUGGCGGCGUGCCUAAUACAUGCAAGUCGAGCGAACAGACGAGGAGCUUGCUCCUCUGACGUUAGCGGCGGACGGGUGAGUAACACGUGGAUAACCUACCUAUAGACUGGGAUAACUUCGGGAAACCGGAGCUAAUACCGGAUAAUAUAUUGAACCGCAUGGUUCAAUAGUGAAAGACGGUUUUGCUGUCACUUAUAGAUGGAUCCGCGCCGCAUUAGCUAGUUGGUAAGGUAACGGCUUACCAAGGCAACGAUGCGUAGCCGACCUGAGAGGGUGAUCGGCCACACUGGAACUGAGACACGGUCCAGACUCCUACGGGAGGCAGCAGUAGGGAAUCUUCCGCAAUGGGCGAAAGCUUGACGGAGCAACGCCGCGUGAGUGAUGAAGGUCUUCGGAUCGUAAAACUCUGUUAUUAGGGAAGAACAAAUGUGUAAGUAACUAUGCACGUCUUGACGGUACCUAAUCAGAAAGCCACGGCUAACUACGUG
rnacentral:rRNA from 1 species